UGCGGCAGCUGCUGGGCGUUCUCCACGGUGGUGUCCGUGGAGGGCAUCAACGCGAUCCGGACGGGGCGGCUGGUGUCGCUGUCGGAGCAGGAGCUGAUCGACUGCGACACGGCGGACAACAGCGGCUGCCAGGGCGGGCUCAUGGAGAACGCGUUCGAGUACAUCAAGCACAGCGGCGGCAUCACCACCGAGUCCGCCUACCCGUACCGCGCCGCCAACGGAACGUGCGACGCCGUCCGCGCGCGGCGCGCGCCGCUGGUGGUGAUCGACGGGCACCAGAACGUGCCGGCCAACAGCGAGGCCGCGCUCGCCAAGGCCGUCGCCAACCAGCCCGUCUCCGUCGCCAUCGACGCCGGCGAC
rnacentral:lncRNA from 1 species